AGUGUCGCGGAUGGAGCCCCGCCUGAGCCCUUCGACUUCUCCCGUGGCCGCCAGGCGCCUCCCCUCCGCGAGACCUCGGCCGCCUCUAACUUUCUGGUUGGCUGAGCGUCGGCUUCCCCGGCACGGGCUGAAGCCCCCGGGCCUUCCACGCAGCCCCGGGCCCCUCUGCCGCUCGGCCCCGCGGCGGAGCAGGCGCGCCGGCCGCUGCGUAUCGAGCUGGGAGAGCCUGGCGCGGCUUCCGCAGUGCCGAGCGUUUUGCAGCCUGGGAGACCCGGGCUUCUCUCCCCGCGGGUCAGCAGGGCACCGCCUCCACACCCCAGCCUGCCCUCCUAGGGACAGGUGCGACGAACGGGUAAAUCCGGUUUGGGGACUUCUCCCCAGAGCCUCUGCCUUCUAACAGCCCCGGGGCCAAGGCUCAGCUGGAGCAGAAUCUAGGACAGCUGGGGAGGAGAGUCGAGGGUGGAAAUAGUGGAAUUUGGAGGCAGGAAACUUAGGCUUCAAGUGGCGUUCAAGGGUGGAAGGAUUGGGGUGAUGUUUUUGUGUGUGUCUGUGUGUUUUUUUUUUUUUUUCUUUUCUUUUUUAAACAAAAACCGGCCGGGCGCGGUGGCUCACGCCUGUAAUCCCAGCACUUUGGUAGGCCGAGUUGGGUGGAUCACGAGGUCAGGAGUUCGAGGCCUGCCUGGCCAACAUGGCGAAACCCCGUCUCUACUAAAAAUACAAAAAUUAUGCAGGCGUGGUGGUGCAUGCCUGUUAAUUACAGCUACUCGGGAGGCUGAGGCAGGAGAAUCACUUGAACCCGGAAGGCGGAGGUUGCGGUGAGCCGAGAUCGUGCCAUUGCACUCCAGCCUGGGUGACAGAACGAGACUCUGUCUCAAAGAAAACAAAACAAAAAACACGAGGAUGGAUUUUUAAGUACUUUUAUAUAUUUUUAUGUACUAUUAAUAUUACUUUAUGAUAAAUAUAAUGAAUACAGGCCGGGCCAUUAUAAUAAUAUAAUGAAUGUAAUAAUGAAUAAUGAAUAAGUGCUCACACCUGUAAUCCCAGCACUUUGGGAGGCUGAGGCAAGAGGAUUAUUAGAGGCCAGGAGUUCAAGACCAGCCUGGGCAAUAUAGUGAGACCCCCUCAUCUCUACCCGCCCCCACACAAAAAAAUUACCCUGGUAUGGUGGUAGACACUCACCUCUAGUCCCAGCUACUCCAGAGGCUGAGGCAGGCAAACACUUGAGCCCAAGGGUUCAAGGCUACAGAGAGCCAUGAUGGCACCACUGCACUACAGCCUGGACGACACAGUGAGACCCUAUCUCAAAAGUAAUAAUAAUAAUGAAUAUAUUUUAAUACGAGGGAGGAACGAGCCAGGGUUUCAGAGAAGGUUCUAGUACUAGUGUUGCUGCCCUAGGGUACCCUAGCCCCUUAAGACUCAAACUUCUUGAGCUGUCAGCUAGGAAUAAGAGAGUCUGGCUGGUUGCAAACCUGCUCCUGUGCUCCAGGCCUCUGACUCUGAGUGUGGCAAUAACCAUGGAUGGCCGUACGAGGAUCCCUGACCUGCCAUGGAUGCAGAUGGAACCACUGGGAUGGUGACACGGGCUCACCCUUGGACUCCAGACAUUAAAUCUGCCCAAGAGAGGAUCAGCAUAGACUUGCCAGCAGCAGGGUAGGCAGUCAUCAGUACUGGGAGUGAGGGCAAAGGGGAGCCAGAGGCCAGGAAGGAAGAGCCCACGGCCCCCAGCAUUCCAGGACCACCAGCAAGGCCUGCACCCUCUCCUGAAAACAUCAGCAAGGCACGGUUCAGGAUGUAGGGGUCAGGCUCCAGGUCACCUCACCAGUUGUGGCCCCUCCAGUAACUCAGAGUAAAGGAAGGACCUUGCUGACUGCAACCAGGACAGCCAACACCUACAUGCACGAAGUCCCAGCUGUACUGAGCUAAGCCCUCUAUGUCCAUUCCCACUACCUCCAUUAGCCCGUUAUAUCCUCAGCUCUCACCCCCUCCAGGCAGAGAGAUGAUUGGCCCAAGGUCAGGUCAGGAUCCCAGCCCCGACUUGGGUCCAGGUCUGUUUGGUUCCCAUCUGCAGUCUGGAAAAUGGUUAUGCAGGUGUCACUGAUUGGUGAAAUGAGGCAUGUGGGUGAUGCAGUAUAUUACUUCUCCAUUGCUGCUGUACCAUUACCGCAAAUUCACUGGCUUCAACGACACAUUUAGUAUCUUAAAGUUCUGUAGGACAGAAGUCUGAUGUGGGCAUCACUGGGUUAAAAUCAAGGGGAACACGAGGCCAUGUUCCUUUCUGGAAGCCCUAGCAGACAGCCUGUAUCAUUGCCUUUUCUGAUUCCCAGAGACCACUCACAUUCCUUGGCUUGAGACCUGUUCCUCCAUGUUCAAAGCCAGCGCGGUUGCAUCUGAGCAUUCUCCUGUAGUGGCAUUUCCCUCUGAUACUCUCCUUCUGCCUCUCUCUUCCAUCUUCAGGGACACUUGUGAUUACAUGGAGCCCACCUAGAUAAUCUGUGACAAUUUCUCUACUUAGCUGAUUUGCAGCCUUCAUUCCCCUUUGCCGUGUAAUGUAACAUAUUUACAGGCUCUAGGAUUUAGGAUGUGGAGUCUUUGGAGGGCCAUUAUUCUGCCCUGUGCAACCUUCCUGGCAAUGUCUAGUGAGGAUGAUGAGGUAGAGGCAGGGUCCCCAGCCAUAAGAAAGUCUUGGCGUUCAGGCCGGGUGCAGUGGCUCACGCGUGUAAUCCCAGCACUUUAGAAGGCCAAGGCGGGUAGAACACCUGAGGUCAGGAGUUCGAGAGCAGCCUGGCCAACAUAGCGAAACCCCAUCUCUACUAAAAAUACAAAAAAAAAAAAAAAUUAGUUGGGCAUGGUGGCACACGUCUGUAGUCCCAGCUACUCAGGAGGCUGAGGCAGGAGAAUUGUUUGAACCUGGGAAGCAGAGGUUGCAGUGAGCUGAGAUCGUGCCACUGCACUCCAGCCUGAGUGGCAGAGUGAGACUCCCUCUCAAAAUAAAUAAAUAAAUAACGCAGGUGUAGUGGGUCACACCUGCAGUCCCAAGUACUUGGGAAACUGAAACAAGGAGAUCACUUGAGUCCAGGAGCUGGAGGUCAGCCUGGGCAACACAGUGAGACCUUGUCUCUAAAAAUAAAUAAAUAAGUAACAUGCAUUUAUUUAUUUAUUUAUUUAGAGACGGAGUCUGGCUCUGUCGCCCAGGCUGGAGUGCAGUGGCAUGAUCUCGGCUCACUGCAGCCUCUGUCCCCCAGGUUCAAGGGGCAGCCUCCCAAGUAUCUGGAGUUACAGGCAUGCGCCACCAUGCCCCGCUAAUUUUUGUACUUUUAGUAGAGACGAGGUUUCACUAUGUUGGUCAGGCUGGUCUCGAACUCCUGACCUCAGAUGAUUCACCCACCUCGGCCUCCCAAAAUGCUGGGAUUACAGACAUGAGCCACUGUGCCCAGCCAACAAAUAUGUAUUUAAAAAAACCAUUUAUAUCGUGUUAUUCACCUGCU
rnacentral:lncRNA from 1 species